UAGAUCCGAUCAUGUGCUCGCUCAGCCUUAGGUUUUCCCUGACCUUAAAAUAUGGUCCUACCAUUUAUAGGAGCAUAAAGUACAUGCACAAGUUGUGCUGGGAACAUUACAGGCUUGUUUCCAUUGAAACCUCAACAGCUUUCAAUAUAGCUCUUAGUCCCCAUUUUAUAGCUGAAUACAUGACACAUAACUUCCUAUAGCGAAUAAUAUCUGAGAGUCAAACCCAGAUAUCUGAUGUAAGGCAUGUGCCUCUUUUCACUCUACUAAUGAAAAGUCCUCAGUUCCCUUUUUCUUUUGCUUUCAUCUCUAUUCGAUACAGACUUUAGAAGUCACCCCAUCCUACCUCCAUUUACCAGAUGAGAAAAUUGAGGCCCAGAUAAGGGGGGAGACAAGGGCCUGGUGUUUUAGUCCCACGUUUGAAUUAUUUUAUAGACAAAUCCUAUUAAUACAUAAGACGAUAGUCAAAAUUUUGGUCCAAUUAUUUUUUUAAAAAAAUCUUUAAAUUGAGACCUACACACACACUGAAUUUCAGAGAUUAUUACAACAAAUCUUUCCAAAUAUUUUGUUAAAGCAGACUAUUUAAAGACAAAGUAAGUGAAUGCUAUCAGAAGCAACCCCUACCCGAACUUUUGUUUUUAAUAACACAGCCUUCCUUAGCAGAACUUCAAGUUCAUGCAGAAAAACCAUUUUUUUCAAUUCUCAGAACAAAGACUGAAAUAUAGUUUUUAAAAAAGGACUAGAUAGAUAGGUCAUUUGGACAGGAAAAGAACCAUCUAUUAAGUGUCCUAAACCAGUUAACCACACUGAUUGAAAACUGCUGUCUAAGAGCAUGAAAAAGGUGGAGAAAGGGUGCUCUAAUCUGAAGAAACGCCAUGAACGAAGAUACGAAGGCAUGAAGAUACACGGUACACCUAGAGACCUUCUAAUGGCCCGGCGUGGAGAUCACAACCUCAAAUGCCUACAGGAUCAUGCGGGUCAUUUAAACCCAUGAGAGUAAUAGCCAAAGUCCUCACAAUGGUCUGCAAAGUCUUACCACACUCUCCCCAUUUAGGCCCCUGACUGCUUUCCCUGUGACUCUCCCUUAACCCGUUCUUCACCCUGCCUGGGCCACACGGAUCUCCAAGCUCUCACCUGCCCCGGGACUUCUGCACUAUAGCUCCCUUUGUCUUAACCUCCUGAUUCCCCACCAGC